AUGCCAGAAAAACAGCUGCAUGUGGUCCUGAAUAUCCGUGCAUCCCGGGACCUUGUUAGGAGGAACUCACCAGAGGCGUCCUGGGUUGCUCAAUGCAGAGACUCUUACCCAGGGUGUCAGCCUCUGAAAGAUACACGUGCCUGGGCCUCUUCCCUGAAGAUGGACCCAGCAGAUCUGGAGGGAGGCCCCUGUGAUGCACCCUGUGAUGAGCUGCUGAUCCGAGCUGCGUGGAACCUCAGUGGGGUUGUGAGCUAUCAGGAACCUGCUGCUGGACUGCAGCGACCAGGAGAAUACGGGUUCUGUGCAUCCGACAGCGGGGACCAAGCAGAAAGGAAAAACCCUUAUACCCUAUCAUCUUUACUUUGUUGGAGAGGAGCUGUAAUAGUCUAUGUUAAAGUUACUGUUCAGACAAAGGAUUCCAACAAAUUGCUUUCAUUACUUUAUUGGUAA